rnacentral:rRNA from 1 species
UACGUAGGGUGCGAGCGUUAAUCGGAAUUACUGGGCUUAAAGGGUCCGCAGGCGGACCAGCAAGUACCUUGUGAAAUCUCAGGUCUCAACCCUGAGUCUGCUAGGUAGACUGCUGGUCUUGAGUGCAAAAGGGGUCGCUGGAACUCUAGGUGGAGCGGUGAAAUGCGUAGAUAUCGGAAGGAACAUCAGUGGCGAAAGCGGCUUCCUGGACCAGCACCGACGUUCAGGCACGAAAGCGUGGGGAGCAAACAGG